CAGAACCCCAGAUUCCACCAUAACAAUCUUAUUUGAAGGACAAUCUUUGGCAAGCUGAAUCAGAAGUCCAAGAGCUAGAAAAGGGGCACCAGGACGAUCUGGGAUAGGUUUUAGCAAGUCAACAAGGGCUGGUAUAGCUUUCCUAGAAGUUGCACCAACCCUCUAGAAAAGGCGCACCAGGACGAUCUGGAAUAGGCUUUAGGAAGUCAACAAGGGCUGGUAUAGCUUUUCUAGAAGUUGCACCAACCUUUAUAUCAUCGACCCUGAACAACCUCUCAAGUGCAACUUGAUCUGGGUUACGGACCAAGGCAAAUUCCUCCGAUAGUGCAACAAGGUCC
rnacentral:lncRNA from 1 species